rnacentral:lncRNA from 1 species
AUUGGUUAUGUAAAGGAAUAGAAUUAAAAAAUUGAGCCAAAUGCCUUGAUUGUCUACAUUAAAUAAACUGUAAUUUUUUUGUAUGCCUUCUUGACUAAAUAAACGGUGGAAGAGGAUUGGAGUUGAAAUUUUUAGCUAGUCUAGAUAAUUGUUCUAUUAUCAAUUUUAUUUGAUGAGAGAUUUGGAUUUGGAAUUCUAAUUGAAAUGCCUUCAUC